UACGUAGGGUGCAGGCGUUAAUCGGAAUUACUGGGCGUAAAGGGCGCGUAGGCGGCUUUUCAAGUCGGGCGUGAAAUCUCCGGGCUUAACCCGGAAGGGUCGUUCGAUACUGUUGAGCUAGAGUGUGGAAGAGGCAACUAGAAUUCCGUGUGUAGCGGUGAAAUGCGUAGAUAUACGGAGGAAUACCUGAGGCGAAGGCGGGUUGCUGGGCCAACACUGACGCUGAGGCGCGAAAGCCAGGGGAGCAAACGGG
rnacentral:rRNA from 1 species